AUGGAUAGAUUCAGUCAGAUGAUUUCUAUUGGCAUACAACCAGACGCAGUUGUUUAUCAAGCUCUAAUUCAGGGUUAUUGUACAGUUGGUGAUUUGGUGAAAGCAAAGGUUUUGGUUUCUGAAAUGAUGAACAGAGGUAUUCCUCCUCCUGACAUUGUGUUCUUUAAUUCAAUAAUGACUAGUCUAUGCAAAGAAGGAAGGGUUACAGAUACACACAGUAUCCUUGACUUCGUUAUACACUUUGGUGUGAGGCCUAGCAUCAGUACAUUUAAUUUGCUGAUUGACGGGUAUUGCUUAGUUGGCAAGAUGAAGAAAGCUUUCGGAGUACUUGAUACCAUGGCAUCAGUAGGCAUUGAGCCUGAUGAUAUUUCAUAUAGUGCAAUCAUUAAUGGCUGUUUUAAAAAUGGAAGGAUCGAUGAUGGAUUUACCAUAUUCCGAGAAAUGCUGAAGAAAGUUAAACCUACAACUGUUACAUAUAACAUCAUACUGGGUGGGUUAUUUUGUGCUGGGAAAACAGUUGCUGCAAUGAAAAUGUUCCAUGAGAUGAUCGAAAGUGGAAUAACAGUGAGCAGUUCCACAUACAGGACAGUCCUUGGAGGACUUUGCAGGAAUAGUUGUGAGGACGAAGCGAUCACCCUGUUCCAGAAAUUAGGAGCAAUGAAUGUGAAGUUGGAUAUUGCAAUACUCAAUACCAUGAUCAAUGCAAUGUUCAAGCUUCAGAGAAGAGAAGAAGCUAACGAUUUGUUUUCUGCAGUAUCAGCCAGUGGAUUGGUACCUAAUGCUUCUACCUAUGGUGUAAUGAUAAAAAAUCUUCUAAGAGAAGGAUCAGUGGAAAAAGCUGAAAAUAUGUUCUCAUUAAUGGAGAAGAGCGGUUGUGCUCCGGACUCUCGUCUUAUAAAUGAUAUCAUCAGAAUAUUACUGAAGAAAGGUGAGAUUGUCAAGGCUGGAAACUAUAUGUCUAAAGUUGAUGGCAGGAGCAUCUCACUUGAAGCUUCAACUACUUCGUUGAUGAUACGUCUCUUUUCAAGUGAAGGGAAAUAUCGGGGACAAAUAAAUUUGCUCCCUGUAAAGUACCAAUUUUUCGAUGGAGUUAGUUGA
rnacentral:rRNA from 1 species